rnacentral:rRNA from 1 species
UACAGAGGUGGCAAGCGUUGUUUGGAAUUACUGGGCGUAAAGGGCGCGUAGGCGGCCUACUAAGUCAGACGUGAAAUCCCCCGGCUUAACCUGGGAACUGCGUCUGAUACUGGAAGGCUUGAGGAUGGGAGAGGGAUGUAGAAUUCCAGGUGUAGCGGUGAAAUGCGUAGAUAUCUGGAGGAAUACCGGUGGCGAAGGCGGCAUCCUGGACCAUUACUGACGCUGAGGCGCGAAAGCUAGGGGAGCAAACGGG